rnacentral:misc_RNA from 1 species
GGAAAACAAUAUAUUCAUCAACUCGAUUCAUAAACUCGGGACGGAAGGUCUGUCUUGCCAAUUCAAUAACCUGCUUUUUCAUCAAAUCAUAAACUGCCUCCUGGCUAUCUUGAGUGUUCCGAAGAGUCUCAAGAAUGUAGUGUGACCCAAUGUUUGAUGUCAUUAUUACAACAGUGUUUGUGAAACUAACAGUCCUCCCUUGAGAAUCAGUUAUUCUUCCAUCGUCCAACAACUGUAAGAGAAUGUUGAACACAUCAUGAUGUGCU